rnacentral:lncRNA from 1 species
AUUAUUGUAAUUAACAUACUCCAACAAACAAUAACACAAAUUGAGAUAUAAGAAAAUGAAAGGAAACUUGUGGUUCAUUGCUUUGGUUUUGGUUCUCUCUUUAGCCAUUUUGUCUUGUGAAGCUUCAAAUCCAUCAUACGUAGUUCGCAAGCUUUGUAAGUAGUGCUCCAAUUUAUAUUAUUUUUUUCUAUAUGUGUCACCAUAAUUUUUAAUGUGAUUUACGUUGAUUUAUCCAACAGUGAUUAUAGGAACACCACCUAGUAGUUCAAGACCCGCAGGCCAACAUUAGCUGGCGGGAAAGAAGAGCACUAGAUGUCUAUGGGUCGUGGUGGUAGUUCAAUGAACUGGAUGUUUUGUAUUAAUUUU